CCUACGGGAGGCAGCAGUGGGGAAUAUUGCACAAUGGGCGCAAGCCUGAUGCAGCCAUGCCGCGUGUGUGAAGAAGGCCUUCGGGUUGUAAAGCACUUUCAGCGGGGAGGAAGGCGGUGAGGUUAAUAACCUCAUCGAUUGGCGUUACCCGCAGAAGAAGCACCGGCUAACUCCGUGCCAGCAGCCGCGGUAAUACGGAGGGUGCAAGCGUUAAUCGGAAUUACUGGGCGUAAAGCGCACGCAGGCGGUCUGUCAAGUCGGAUGUGAAAUCCCCGGGCUCAACCUGGGAACUGCAUUCGAAACUGGCAGGCUAGAGUCUUGUAGAGGGGGGUAGAAUUCCAGGUGUAGCGGUGAAAUGCGUAGAGAUCUGGAGGAAUACCGGUGGCGAAGGCGGCCCCCUGGACAAAGACUGACGCUCAGGUGCGAAAGCGUGGGGAGCAAACAGGAUUAGAUACCCGUGUAGUC
rnacentral:rRNA from 1 species